GACGAACGCUGUUUGCGUGCUUAACACAUGCAAGUCGAACGGAAAGGCCCUGCUUUUGUGGGGUGCUCGAGUGGCGAACGGGUGAGUAACACGUAAGUAACCUGCCCUUGACUUUGGGAUAACUUCAGGAAACUGGGGCUAAUACCGGAUAGGAGCUCCUGCUGCAUGGUGGGGGUUGGAAAGUUUCGGCGGUUGGGGAUGGACUCGCGGCUUAUCAGCUUGUUGGUGGGGUAGUGGCUUACCAAGGCUUUGACGGGUAGCCGGCCUGAGAGGGUGACCGGCCACAUUGGGACUGAGAUACGGCCCAGACUCCUACGGGAGGCAGCAGUGGGGAAUAUUGCACAAUGGGCGGAAGCCUGAUGCAGCAACGCCGCGUGCGGGAUGACGGCCUUCGGGUUGUAAACCGCUUUCGCCUGUGACGAGGCGUGAGUGACGGUAAUGGGUAAAGAAGCACCGGCUAACUACGUGCCAGCAGCCGCGGUGAUACGUAGGGUGCGAGCGUUGUCCGGAUUUAUUGGGCGUAAAGGGCUCGUAGGUGGUUGAUCGCGUCGGAAGUGUAAUCUUGGGGCUUAACCCUGAGCGUGCUUUCGAUACGGGUUGACUUGAGGAAGGUAGGGGAGAAUGGAAUUCCUGGUGGAGCGGUGGAAUGCGCAGAUAUCAGGAGGAACACCAGUGGCGAAGGCGGUUCUCUGGGCCUUUCCUGACGCUGAGGAGCGAAAGCGUGGGGAGCGAACAGGCUUAGAUACCCUGGUAGUCCACGCUGUAAACGGUGGGUACUAGGUGUGGGGUCCAUUCCACGGGUUCCGUGCCGCAGCUAACGCUUUAAGUACCCCGCCUGGGGAGUACGGCCGCAAGGCUAAAACUCAAAGGAAUUGACGGGGCCCCGCACAAGCGGCGGAGCAUGCGGAUUAAUUCGAUGCAACGCGUAGAACCUUACCUGGGUUUGACAUGGAUCGGGAGUGCUCAGAGAUGGGUGUGCCUCUUUUGGGGUCGGUUCACAGGUGGUGCAUGGCUGUCGUCAGCUCGUGUCGUGAGAUGUUGGGUUAAGUCCCGCAACGAGCGCAACCCUUGUUCACUGUUGCCAGCACGUUAUGGUGGGGACUCAGUGGAGACCGCCGGGGUCAACUCGGAGGAAGGUGGGGAUGACGUCAAGUCAUCAUGCCCCUUAUGUCCAGGGCUUCACGCAUGCUACAAUGGCUGGUACAGAGAGUGGCGAGCCUGUGAGGGUGAGCGAAUCUCGGAAAGCCGGUCUCAGUUCGGAUUGGGGUCUGCAACUCGACCUCAUGAAGUCGGAGUCGCUAGUAAUCGCAGAUCAGCAACGCUGCGGUGAAUACGUUCCCGGGGCU
rnacentral:rRNA from 1 species